rnacentral:rRNA from 1 species
CGAGGGGUAACAGUCCCGCCUUCGGGCGGGAGCUGACGACCGGCGCACGGGUGAGUAACGCGUAUACAAUCUGCCUAUUACUAAGAGAUAGCCCAGAGAAAUUUGGAUUAAUAUUUUAUGGCAUUACGACUCGGCAUCGGGUUGUAAUUAAAGGUUACGGUAAUAGAUGAGUAUGCGUCCUAUUAGCUUGAUGGUAAGGUAACGGCUUACCAUGGCUACGAUAGGUAGGGGUCCUGAGAGGGAGAUCCCCCACACUGGUACUGAGACACGGACCAGACUCCUACGGGAGGCAGCAGUGAGGAAUAUUGGACAAUGGGAGCAAUCCUGAUCCAGCCAUGCCGCGUGCAGGAAGACUGCCCUAUGGGUUGUAAACUGCUUUUAUACAGGAAGAAAAAGCCCGACGUGUCGGGUGUUGACGGUACUGUAAGAAUAAGGAUCGGCUAACUCCGUGCCAGCAGCCGCGGUAAUACGGAGGAUCCAAGCGUUAUCCGGAAUCAUUGGGUUUAAAGGGUCCGUAGGCGGGACAAUAAGUCAGUGGUGAAAGUCUGCAGCUCAACUGUAGAAUUGCCAUUGAUACUGUUGUUCUUGAGUGCUUGUGAAGUGGUUAGAAUGAGUAGUGUAGCGGUGAAAUGCAUAGAUAUUACUCAGAAUACCGAUUGCGAAGGCAGAUCACUAACAAUUCACUGACGCUGAUGGACGAAAGCGUAGGUAGCGAACA